ACUCGUAGUGGGGGACAACCGUGGGAAACUACGGCUAAUACCGCAUGAUGCCUGAGGGCCAAAGACGAAAGUCGUUUGAGGAGGAGCCUGCGCCUGAUUAGGUAGUUGGUGGGGUAACGGCCUACCAAGGCGACGAUGCGUAGCCGACCUGAGAGGGUGGACGGCCACACUGGGACUGAGACACGGCCCAGACUCCUACGGGAGGCAGCAGUGGGGAAUAUUGGACAAUGGGCGCAAGCCUGAUCCAGCAAUGCCGCGUGGGUGAAGAAGGUCUUCGGAUUGUAAAGCCCUUUCGACGGGGACGAUGAUGACGGUACCCGUAGAAGAAGCCCCGGCUAACUUCGUG
rnacentral:rRNA from 1 species